GAUGAACGCUGGCGGCGUGCCUAAUACAUGCAAGUCGAGCGAACAGACGAGGAGCUUGCUCCUCUGACGUUAGCGGCGGACGGGUGAGUAACACGUGGAUAACCUACCUAUAAGACUGGGAUAACUUCGGGAAACCGGAGCUAAUACCGGAUAAUAUAUUUAACCGCAUGGUUCAAUAGUGAAAGACGGUUUUGCUGUCACUUAUAGAUGGAUCCCGGCCUCAUUAGCUAGUUGGUAAGGUAACGCCUUACCAAGGCAACGAUGCGUAGCCGACCUGAGAGGGUGAUCGCCAACUCGGGAACUGAGAAACGGUCCAGACUCCUACGGAAGGCAGAAGUAGGCAUUCUUAGCCAAUGAGGGAAAGCCUGACGGACCAACGCCGCGUAAGUGAUGAAGGUCUCCGAAUCGUAAAACUCUGUUAUUGGGGAGGAACUAAUGUGGAAGUGAAUGUGCACCAAUUGACGGUACCUAAUCAGAAAGCCACGGCUAACUACGUG
rnacentral:rRNA from 1 species